GACCAGGUUGCCGGUCAGCUGAAAAAUAUUCGCGCUGUGGGAGCUGCUUUCCCUUCAAAAAGGAAAGCCGAGUUCCGAUUUGGUAGGUGACCUUUGCCGGUUGCAUGCCUUCGUUGCUUGCAAUGGCUUCCAUGAAAGCGUGUGCAGGACGCCUUUUGGCUUUCGACCUGAGCUCAGGCAAGAACACCCGCUGAACUUAA
rnacentral:misc_RNA from 1 species